UACAUAUGACGAUGGCUAUGAAAAUUUAAGCUGUAAUUCAGAUUCAACGCCCAUUACAGUUUAUCCUGCUUCAACUUCAAAAUCUAACCUUGAAAUACAACAGGUACAAAAUAGUUAUGAAGAACUAAAUUUUUCAAAUUUAGCAAAUUUUGUGCUAUCUGAAAAUCAUUCGGCUGAACCGUUGCCAAGUACAUCUGAUGAAUAUCCAAA